UGCCACCAGAGCACAGGUGUUGUGAAAACCACCCCAAAAGCCAAAAUGGGAAAGGAAAAGACGCACAUCAACAUUGUCAUCAUCGGACACGCUGAUUCGGGCAAGUCCACCACCUUUGGUCACCUGAUCUACAAAUGUGGCAGUAUUGACAAAAGAACUAUAGAGAAAUUCAAGAAGGAGGCUACUGAGAUGGGAAAGGGCUCCUACGAGUAUGCCUGGGUCUUGGAUAAACUGAAAGCUGAGUGUGAAUGUGGUAUCACCAUUGAUAUCUCCCUGUGGAAAUUUGAGACUUGCAAGUCCUACCUCACUAUCAUUGAUGCCCCAGGACACAGAGACUUCAUCAAAAAUAUGAUUACAGGCACAUCUCAGGCUGACUGUGCUGUCCUCAUUGCUGCUGCUGGUGUUGGUGAAUUCGAAGCUAUCUCCAAGAAUGGGCAGAACCAUGAGCAUGCCCUCCUGACUUACACACUGGGUAUGAAAUAACUAAUUGUUGGGCGUUAACAAAAUGGAUUCCACUGAGCCAUCCUACAGCCAGAACAGAUAUGAGGAAAUUGUUAAGGAAGUCAGCAUUUCCAUUAAGGAAAUUGGCUACAAUCCUGACACAGUAGCAUUUGUGCCAAUUUCCGGUUGGAAUGGUGACAACAUGCUGGAGUCAAGUGCUAACAUGCCUUGGGUUAAGGGAUGGAAAGUCACUUGUAAAGAUGAUAAUGCCAGUGGAACCACACUGCUUGAAGCACUAGACUGCAUCCUGCCACCAACUUGUCCAAGUGACAAGCCCUUGAGUCUGCCUCUCCAGGAUGUCUACAAGAUUGGUGGUAUUGGCAGCACUGUCCUUGUGGGCUGAGUGGAUACUGGUGUUCUCAAACCUGGCAUGGUGGUUACCUUUGCUCUAGUCAACGUUACAACUGUAGUAAAGUCUUGAAAUGCACGAUGAAGCUUUGAAUGAAGCUCUUCGAGGGACAAUGUGGGCUUCAAUGUAAAGAAUGUGUCUGUCAAAGAUGUUCGCCGGGGCAACGUUGCUGGUGACAGUAAAAAUGAUCCUCCGAUGGAAGCACAGCUUGGCUUCACAGCUCAAGUGAUUAUCCUGAUCCAUCCAGGCCAAAUCAGUGCUGGCUAUGCCCCUGUACUGGAUUGUCACAUUGCUCACAUUGCAUGCAAGUUUGCUGAGCUGAAAGAUAAGAUUGAUUGCCGUUCUGGUAAGAAACUGGAAGAUGGCCCUAAAUUCUUGAAGUCUGGUGAUGCUACCAUUGUUGACAUGGUUCCUGGCAAAGCCCAUUUGUGUGGAGAGUUUCUAUGACUGCCCUCCUCUGGGUCAUUUUGCCAUCUGUGAUUUGAGGCAGACAGUUAUUGUGGGUGUCAUCAAAGCAGUGGACAAGAAGGCUGCCAGAGCUGGCAAGGUCACCAAGUCUGCCCAGAAAGCUCAGAAGGCUAAAUGA